GAUGACAACCCCAUACAGUCGCCCAGCACCACUUCGUGUAAGGUGUGUUGCCACCUGCAGAAGUCAAAAGGCUUUGACAUUUGUGAGGAACAAUAAUAAAAUACAUGUCGGCACGUAUAAGAUCACCACUUUUUGUGCACUCACUGAUGGGGAGACAGUUUAUCUUUCGGUUAGAAAUGGUAGUAACCCAGAGUUCGAAGAGGGGCAGUCAUAUGUGGUAAAGAACUUCACCCUCUCACACAAAUACGGGCGGCCAUGCUUGUUUGUCAAUCAAACAACAAUAAAAUUUAAAACUACUCCACUGGCCAUAACAGAGGAGGCCAAGAAAGCAGCAAAGGAGGCCCUCUGUCCACCUUCCCCACUAAAGACUGGUGAAGAAGGUGACAUUUUUAACAACAGGAGCUACCUGAGUCUCCAGGGGCAAAUAGAAAAAGUUGAAGUCGCCAGGAUGACCAGAGGACAGGUGCCCAUCCUGGAUCUGCGGAUUAAAUGUGGUUCCACAGUACACGAUUUUUCACUGUGGAGAGAAGAGGCACUAAGUGAGCUGUAUGUUGGGGACAUGGUAGAGCUCACUCACCUAAAGGCAACAAUAACACCAGAUGGAAAGGGCAAAUUUGCCUCUUCCAACUACACAACUGUGAAGAUUACUGACCGGCAGAUCCAGGAGGAAGAACUUGAGAUAAUUGGGGUGUCAGAAAAAAAUGACAAGCUCAUCCUUCUCGACAGUAGGCUGGACGACUAUGCUGUCCCAGCCCAUUUUUAUGCAGGCGACCCUGAUGACCUAGUAAACCAACUACCAAUAAAAAUGAAAGUCAGGCACAUACAAAGACAUGUUCUUAACAUAGAAUGCAUGGAUUCACCUAAAAGUGAGGGAUCGCUGAAUCUACUGCAGAAUGGGGCAUCCCUAGAUCCUGGCCAGAGUGGGGAAUCACUUGAUCCAAUUCAAGCUGCAGCAUCCCUAGAUCCUGGCCAGAGUGGGGAAUCACCUGAUGGAGACAUGGCAUCCCUGGACCCAGCUGAGAGCAUGGAAUCACUUGAUCCAUUCGACUGUUGAUCCAACUGAAUGUUGAAGACAUUGGUUAAAGUGAUAGUUCACCCAAAAAUGAAAAUUUGAUGUUUAUCUGCUUUCACCAAAGGUAUCCAAGACGUAGGUGACUUCGUUUCUUCAGCAGAACACAAACUGAGAUGUUUAACUACUGAAGAAACAAAGUGACCUACAUCUUGGAUUUCCUGGGGGUAAGCAUCAAAUUUUCAUUUUUGGGUGAACUAUCCCUUUAAGGUUUUUUUUUACUCUUUUCUUUUCUUUCUUUUUUUUUUUUUACUUUUCUGUAAUUUAAUCUAAAUAAUUUAAAUUCACUAAAUAAUUAAAUUUAAUCUGUAAGUAAUGUUCAACCUAAUAUUGUGUAAUGUUCAAUCAUUUUGUUUAUAGUUUUUAAAUGUUUAAUUUCUUAUUUGUUCUUCUUAGUAACACUUUAAUAAUUUGAAUGAUUGCAGAUGAUUUAUUUGUGUAAUUCCUAGUUCUAAAUGAUAAAUUCCUAAUUGCAUUGCACAAUAACGGAGUCUGAUCAUUUCAUACCUCCCAACCACUCAUACAUUUAUAGAUAAACCCUUAAUGCUGUAGAAACUUAAAGUAUUAUGAGUUAAAGUAUUAAAGCUAACAGACAAAAAUAACAAUGAAUGCUGUGGUCGAUGUGAUUUACCUUGGAAACCAGAUGUCCAGGCUGGGAAUAACAUCACAUCCAAGUGGGCCGCGUUCCACUAGAGAAAUCAGAAAAAUGGCAAUACGUUGUAAUUGAUACAAACUAUUUGAAGCUUUAAAACUUUAAAAAGGUGUAAUCUAUUUUGAUCAGUUCUGUAGUGUUUAUAUCCGAACUACUUUGGUUUUAUUUCAGUACUUCUGUGUUUAUUUGAAUGUCUGUAACAGAAAUAACAAUACAAUUCUUCAAAUACUUCGUAAAGAUGUUUCAUGUACGUAAACUGCUCUCUCUGGUCAGCAGCAGCAGAACUGAAUGUUACAGUGUGAUCAGGGCUUUAAUAGACAUAUGAAUCCUGUC
ensembl:lncRNA